rnacentral:lncRNA from 1 species
UUUUGGUGAGAGAAAUUGUUUUCUUUGUACUUUAAUAAUGGAACUAGGGCAUACAGAGAAGAAGAAUUAAUAAUGGAACUAAGGCAUACAGAGAAGAAGAAUUACAUUAUGUUGUAAAUGAGAAAAUGGUGAUUUUUUUCUUGAUGAAGAUUCUAACUUUAAAAUUUCUUAUUACAACGAAAUAAGGUUAGGCACACCGGUUCUCCUUCUUUUGUCGACGUCAACGAAUCUCCAGUUCUCCAUUAUUCUUCCUACAUCGCCGUCGGCCGCCGGCCGACAAUAAUGAUUCCCGCCACCCAUUCUCUGAUCCAACCCAAAUUAUAAUCAUCAACUUCCCUCUUCGAUUCUCUCUCUUUUUAUUGCCAAUUACCAUGAAGGAAUGGAAUCAAAGAUGUCAAACAAGAAUUUCACCAUUUUCCUAAUGCAAUAUCAAUAUCAUAUAAUAUAAUCAUAUUUCGAAUAUAAUUAUAUUCGAGAUAUUGCAUACCAAACAACUUGUAUGAUUCAUCUUCCCUGAAUUCACGAGUAACUGAUUUUGCUUUUUGUCAUGAACAAAUAUGUAAAAAGCGAAAUGAACAAGAACAGAAAGGAAUUUCACAAAAUUUUGGUAUAUAUUCAC